GACGAACGCUGGCGGCGUGCCUAAUACAUGCAAGUAGGACGCAGUUGCGAACGGGUGAGUAACGCGUAGGUAACUACCUAUUAGUGGGGGAUAACUAUUGGAAACGAUAGCUAAUACUGCAUCCUAGUAGAUUGACCUGCGUUGUAUUAGCUAGUAGGUAGGGUAAUGGCCUACCUAGGCAACGAUACAUAGCCGACUUGGGGAGGUGAUCGGCCCAACUGGGACUUAGACAAGGCCCAGACGCCCACGGGAAGCAGCAGUAGGGAAACUUCGGAAAUGGGGGGAACCCUGACCGAGCAACGGCGCGUGAGUGAAGAAGGUUUUCGGAUCGUAAAGCUCUGUUGUUAAGGAAGCGGUACUUAACCAGAAAGGGACGGCUAACUACGUGCCAGCAGCCGCGGUAAUUC
rnacentral:rRNA from 1 species